rnacentral:rRNA from 1 species
GGGGAAUAUUGCACAAUGGGCGAAAGCCUGAUGCAGCAACGCCGCGUGAGUGAUGAAGGUCUUCGGAUUGUAAAGCUCUGUCUUUUGGGACGAUAAUGACGGUACCAAAGGAGGAAGCCACGGCUAACUACGUGCCAGCAGCCGCGGUAAUACGUAGGUGGCAAGCGUUGUCCGGAAUUACUGGGCGUAAAGGGUGCGCAGGCGGACAUUUAAGUGAGAUGUGAAAGACCCGGGCUUAACUUGGGCAGUGCAUUUCAAACUGGAUGUCUGGAGUGCAGGAGAGGAGAACGGAAUUCCUAGUGUAGCGGUGAAAUGCGUGGAGAUGUGGAGGAACACCAGUGGCGAAGGCGACUCUCUGGGCUGUAACUGACGCUGAGGCGCGAAAGCGUGGGGAGCAAAC